AGGAGGGGGGAAAGCGGUGGAAAGCAACAGGGAAUUAGAUAUCCUUGUUGUUGCAAGCUGUAAACGAUGUCAAAUAGCGGGUGGAAUCCUUGAGAUUUUAGUGGCACAGCUAACACAGUAUGUUAACAAUUCGGGGGAUGACGGCCACAAGUUUAAAACUCAAAUGAUAUAGGGGGGAUCUCACAAGCGCUGUAGCGUUUGGUGUUAAUUUGAAGCAACUCGAAGAACCUUAGCAUGUCGUUGACAUUCAGGGAACUUGCGAGAGUUGGAUUUGUGCUUUGGGGAACUCUGACACAGGUGAUGCAUGGCUGUCGUCAGGUCGUAUCGUGAGAUGUUGGGUUAAGGUCCCGUAAAGAGCGGCAACCCUUAUCUUUAGUUCACGGCGCGUUAUGGUGGGCACUGUAAGGGGACUGCCGGUGACAAACCGGAGGUAGGUGGGGAUGACGUCAAGUCAUCAUGGGCCUUACGGCCUGGGCUACACACGUGCUACAAUGGGCGGUACAGAGGGUUUCCAAGCCGCGAGGAGGAGGUAAUUUUACAAAACCGAUGGUAGUCCGGAUAGCAGUCGGCAAUUGGACUGGGUGAAGUCGGAAUCGAUAGUAAUCUCGAAUCAGAAAGUCUCGGUGAAUAUGUUCCCGGGCCUUGGUCACACCGCCUGUCACAUCAUGGGAGAGGGUUGCACCAGAAGUAGCUAGUGUAACCUUCGGGAGGACUGGUUAUCCAGCGGUGUGAUUCAUGUUGUGGGGUGAAGUCGUAACAAGGUAGCCGU
rnacentral:rRNA from 1 species